ACAAAACUGGCCACCUGUGGGUGCCAUCUGGUGGUGAGCACUCUGAUCCUGAUCCAGCAAUGUUUUGGAAUGCAUGCUUACCUUUAAAGGCAUGAACGUUCUUCUGAAGUGUGCUAAAUCACGCACAGCCUGCUAGGCACGUUGGAAGAAUGAAUCCUAAUGCAAGUCCUCCUAUGGAGAUUCAUUAGAAGGGCAAAUAUUUUAAGAACUAAGGCUUGUAACAACCCUGAGAAGGAAAAAGCACUUCUUGCUCAUGGGAAGACUGAAGAACAAGGCAAGGAGAUCUGUUGUGAUGUCACAGGACACAUGAGAAAGCAUGGAAGGGCUGGGAACAGAGCUCAGCAGCUAUCUUCAUUCUGCUGCCUUUGCCACAGUGUUGGAUCUGCCUUGCCAAUGUGUUUAGACUGUUACUGUAAUCUGGAAUACAACCUGCUUACUGUGACGGGCAGGGAGCUGAACUGCCAGAAGAAAGGAUUAUAUUUUUGCAGGAGGAUCAACAGGAGAAGAAGCUAG
rnacentral:lncRNA from 1 species